AAAGCGUCGUAGCUGGCUGGCAAGUCCGUCGGGAAAUCACUCGCCCAACGAGUGGGCGUCCGACGGAAACUGCACAGCUUGGGACCGGAAGGCUCGAAGGGUACGUUCGGGGUAGGAGUGAAAUCCCAUAAUCCCGAACGGACCACCGAUGGCGAAAGCACUUCGAGAAAACGGAUCCGACAGUGAGGGACGAAAGCCAGGGUCUCCAAC
rnacentral:rRNA from 1 species